rnacentral:rRNA from 1 species
AUGGACAAGUACACGAUUCGCAUCCUUGCAAUAGCAGCCCUAGUCUGUCUACAUCUCGUAUGCUCUGCCACCGUUGCUCAAUGCCGAAACAUGGCCGAUAAGGAUAGGAAGAAGAUCGCUCUACCAUACGGGCUAUGCGUUCAAGUAGGUCCUGACGAUUGUGGGGACGGUGGUUGCUUCCAUUGUUUGGUAAAUGAUGCCUUCUACCGCAGUAUGGAUGAGUGCAAGAGCAAGUUCACUGCACCUCCUCUCUUCAAGUCCAUGGAUCACUCGCGUACAAAAAUGUCCAUCGAUCUCUCUGUCCUAUGGCUAUGGAUGACCAGGGGAGGCCGCCCCUGUCCAAGAUCCGGUGACGCUGAAGGUGAGAGAUACUUCUUAAGAGUCCUCCUAGUCAUGUUAGAGAUGGUGAAGGAUAUCAAAACUUAUGGCCUUCCAGAGGUGGUUGAAAUAGAUGGUGAUUGUUCUAGCGACCACUUGAUAGAGGUAUGGGAGGAGCUGUCAUUCGGUGUUGACUACGAGCCUCUUGAUAUGUUUACAUCUUUGAACAUCGAGCAACAUGCUGGCCUAGUUAAUGCUAUUGCUAAAAGUAGUACACCGUUUUCUCAAAAGAAAAAUUGCAACAGGGAUAUGGAUGACCACUUCUCUCUUCUCUCAAUCCCUCUCUAUAUAUUGGUAGCCAAACAUUUUUCAUUAUCAACCAAAGUGAUCGAGUGCAUGCCUAGCUAUUGUUGCAUCAGGUGGGGCAUGGACAAGUACACGAUUCACAUCCUUGCAAUAGCAGCCCCCGCACGCGCCGAACACCUCGCCUACUCCGGAGGGAGUAAAGUUGGUAGAAUUGGUGUAUGCGAACCUAGCUAG